rfam:Ixodes scapularis strain Wikel colony gcontig_1108379684106, whole genome shotgun sequence.
GUCAGGAUGGCCGAGCGGUCUAAGGCGCUGAGUUCAAGUCGCAGUCGGUCUUCCGGGCGUGGGUUCGAAUCCCACUUCUGACA